CAGCUAGUUGGUAGGGGAAGAGCCUACCAAGGCGACGAUCGGUAGCUGGUCUGAGAGGACGAUCAGCCACACUGGGAUUGAGAACGGCCCAGACUCCUACGGGGGGCAGCAGUGAGGAAUUUUCCGCAAUGGGGGCAACCCUGACGGAGCAACGCCGCGUGCAGGAGGACGCUUUUCGGAGUGUAAACUGCUUUUCUGUGGGACGAGGAUGGACGGUACCACAGGAAGAAGCCCCGGCUAACUACGUGCCAGCAGCCGCGGUAAUACGUAGGGGGCGAGCGUUGUCCGGAGUUACUGGGCGUAAAGGGCAUGCAGGCGGUCGGACGCGUUUUGUGUGACAGCGGAUGGCUUAACUAUCCGAGGAUACGAAAGACGGUUUGACUUGAGGGCUCGAGAGGGACACGGAAUUCCGGGUGGAGUGGUGAAAUGCGUAGAGAUCCGGAGGAACACCAAAGGCGAAGGCAGUGUCCUGGCGAGUACCUGACGCUGAGGUGCGAAAGCUAGGGGAGCGAACGGGAUUAGAUACCCCGGUAGUCCUAGCCGUAAACGAUGACCACCAGGUGUGGGAGGUAUCGACCCCUUCCGUGCCGGAGGAAACCCACUAAGUGGUCCGCCUGGG
rnacentral:rRNA from 1 species